AUGAGCGGGGGAGGCUGAGUCACUCCACGAGGCUGCUGGAUGUGGCCCAGGGGCCGGCCCAGGAAACGUCCAGACUCUGGCCACUCCAGCCCUCCCCCAGCUGCCCUCCUGUGGUGAGAACGAUGCCCCCGCCCAUCUGGGUCAAAUGAGGAAACACAGUGCCUAGGAAGAGGGCAGAGGGCCCUGAGGACACCGGGCAGUGCAGCCUUGACCCACCCAGGGUCGACUCCCCAAGCUAAAAUGUGCGUCCACUCUGACCUCACUCUACUCUCUAGUCUGCUCCCUCUUCGCCCCCACCCUUGGGGUCCCCGCCUGGGCACCUUGCUGGACACGGCAUGACGAGGCAGACUACCCAGGUGGGGCGGAGCCGGAGCUGAGCCCCGAGAGCUGCCCAAGUGGCCGCCAGUCAAAGACGGCAUCGGAGCACGGUUCAUCCUCAUGACUGGGUGAGAUGCUCGGGCGGAGGCCAGGGCCUCCUUUGCCCCACCCUGGCCCCAGCCCUGCCCCAGGCACCUGGUGGAUGGAACCAGCGAGGCCUCCGGAACCUGGGCUCAGCCACAGUCUAGACUAUGUGCAGACUGGAGCAGAGAGAGGACCCAAACUUCUGUGGCCACCACCACCAUGGACAAUUUCUGUUCUCUUCCCAGAAACCGGGUCUGGGAAACUACCCCUCCCUGUCACUGGUCUGGCCAAAAGCCAGAUGAGGAGGACGGCGGGUGUCUGUGACCACAUCCUUUAAAGGUUGGGCAAGACGCCAACGGAUAGAGAUAGGAACGGAUUCACAGAAGAGGAACCAUGAGAUGGAGACGGUUCACUGGAGACCUAAAAAGAUGCUCAGCGUCUUCAUAAAAUGAGAACUUGAGAUUAAAAGCGUGCUACGGCACGAUUUGUCCCGGUCAGAUGAGCUGAAUCCCAGCGCCUGACAGCCAUCUAUGGGGGAAACAUCCUCAGAUAUCAUUUGUUGGUAUUUAACAUGAUCCAAACCCCAGUAGAGGGGACCUGGAAAUCCUGCAAAAUUAGAGAUGCCUUGCCCUUUGGCCCAGUAAUCCCACUUCCAGGAAUCUUGCCACAGACAGACCAGCCAAGCGAGGAAGAGGAGACUGGAGAGGCUAUUCCCUGCCGGGCGGUAGACUAGCACAACCUGGAAACCACUCAGAUGUCUGUCCAGGGGGCCCUGCGUGCGUGAAAUGCUUGUACACUCCAUGGGGCACCGGGGGGUUGUAAAAAGGAAGGAGAAAUAUUCUAUAUACUACUAAACGGUUUUUUUCCAGGAUAGAUUGCUAGGGGAAAAAAAGCAUUGAUGUGUAAUUAUUUAUAGCACCAGUAGCUUCUAUCUUUACAAAUGGAGGGAUAAGCCAUUAAAUUUGUUUUAAAUUAAAUUAUUACCUACAGGGAGCAGGCGGGAAGGAGGUGAAGGGAGACUGGAAUAGAAACUAUUAUAUCUUGAUUUGUAGAUUUGGCUUUAGAGCCAUGUAAAUAUUUAUGUAAUUACUAAGUUAAAUUACAUUUUUAAAGGAAAAUUUUUAAACUUGAAAGCAAGAUAAAACCAAUUAACUUGCACUAGCACCUGGCAGCAUAAUCCUAGCAAACUCUUCAAAGUUUAAAAUCAGUAUUUGACUAUGUAUCUACAUAGCCUGAGUGUGAAAUGAAUGUCAAAAAUGUUUCAUUUUCUGUAAUCAUUUCCCAAAUAACGUUAAAACAUAGUUUCAUUUGUACAUCUGCAUAACCCAAGGAUUUUUAUGGUA